rnacentral:ncRNA from 1 species
GGUCCUGGCCUUAGUAUUAAUUGUAACUAGAAUUAUACAUGCAAGUUUCAGCACCCCUGUGAGAAUGCCCUCAUCAACCUAUCAGUUGAUGAGGGGCAGGUAUCAGGCACACGCACGUUAGCCCAAGACACCUUGUCAAGCCACACCCCCAAGGGAUUUCAGCAGUAAUAAAUAUUGACCUAUAAGCGCAAGCUUGAGUCAGUUAGAGUUAACUGGGUUGGUAAAUCUCGUGCCAGCCACCGCGGUUAUACGAGUAACCCUUAUUAAUACUUACCCGGCGUAAAGAGUGGUUUAAGGAGAAAUCUUUAAAUAAUUAAAGUUAAGACCCCAUUAAGCUGUUAUACGCUCUUAUGGGUGGAAUUAUCAACAACGAAAGUAACUUUAUUACACUAGACUUCUUGAUGCCACGAUAGUUGGGCCCCAAACUAGGAUUAGAUACCCUACUAUGCCCAACCACAAACUUAGAUAAUAGUCUACCAUAUUAUUCGCCAGAACACUACAAGCGCUAGCUUAAAAUCCAAAGGACUUGGCGGUACUCCAGACCCCCCUAGAGGAGCCUGUUCUAUAACCGAUAAUCCCCGUUAAACCUCACCACUCCUUGCCAACUCCGCCUAUAUACCGCCGUCGUCAGCUCACCCUGUGAAGGAUAAAAAGUAAGCAAAAAGAAUUACCUCCCACACGUCAGGUCAAGGUGUAGCGAAUGAAGUGGAAAGAAAUGGGCUACAUUUUCUAUUAAGAUAACAACGAACAGUAAACUGAAACAUCUACUUAAAGGUGGAUUUAGCAGUAAGGAAAAAUCAGAGCGUUUUCCUGAAGCCGGCUCUGAAGUGCGCACACACCGCCCGUCACUCUCCUCGACAAAACCCUUACAUUAUAUAAAAAUUUAAUUUAUUUAAAGAGGAGGCAAGUCGUAACAUGGUAAGUGUACUGGAAAGUGCACUUGGAAUACAUUAAAGCUAGCCUAAUUAAUUGUAUAAACAUGACCUCAUUAAUUAUACUA